GGAGACCGGGGAUGGUUGACUAUAGGGGUAGGUAGACUAAUCGUCGAAAACACUCCGGCAUCACGUGUUUCGUGACCUUCAAUCAGGCGCAAGGAACGAGCCCUGUGCCCCGCUCAUUCGUACGAAGUGCCGUGUAGCCGACGCGCGUCGUUUUUGUUUGGUGCGGAGAUAACGAAUUUUGACCUACAAAAUGAGAACAUAUAAGAGAAAAUCAACGAGAUCCGAUGUACCCCAAAAUAUAGUGGAAAGAGCUUGCCAUAAUGUGUGUCCAAAGUAAAACAAAACCAAGAAAGCUCUGCCUGCUACCAUUGAAAAUAUACAGUUUGGUUUUAUAAUAUCCGGUAUAUCACCACUCAAUGAAAACAUAUUUCCCGAAUCGGAGUUUAGUGGAGCUUAUGUGAUGGAUAGGCCAGUGCCAGUAUCACAAGAUGUUGCUGGUUCUUCGACGGCUAGGAUGAACAUAAAUCCGAACGUAAAUGCUAUACCAUCAGUGCCAGAAUAGAAUAUCGACAGUGCAGGGUCUUCCAGAGCUGAACAUUUGAUCACCCUUCCAAAUUCUGCUGUAUAUAUAUUCAAUAAUAUGGUUAUCAUUGUCAACACUUCUGAUCAUCAUAAUGAAAUUACUGCAGAAGAACCAAUUGUUUCAAGCGAAUCGACUACUGCUUUGCCAUUACGCUCAAGAUCUGCUAGUACUAAUUGCGAAUCACCUUCAAUUCUUGAACAGCAUGAGUCAGGAGAAGAGCUCAGUAUACAAACAGCCGAAAGUGAAUAUCAAUUGGAAAAACACCAAAGAGUGACUCCACCGCCUUCAACUUCUGAUACCCCUUUUACUUCUUUUAUUCAUCCAACAGACAUAAUGCCCUUUCCGAAAGCUCUAACUUGUUUAGAAAAUCGAAGAAAUAUACGCAAACGUAAAAGAAAAACUUAUGGAAUUAAAACAGAAACAAUCGUGUACAGAAUAUUUGAAGAAGAAAAAAACUGAAAAACUUACAUCUAAAAGUCAGGAAAAGGGGAAAGGAAAAUGUAAAGGGAAGGUUAAGGUUAAGGGAAAAGGUAAGAACGGCAUCAGAGGAGCUAAAAAUAAAGAUAAUGAUGCAGCAGCUUAUUCAGAUGAAAGUGAUGAUGAUGACACGAUUUGUAUAGAAUGCACUGAUUCUGUUAGUCUGCCUGGUGAAGAAUGGAUUCAGUCAAAACACUGAAUCUAUUCUUUUCCCAUUCAAUAUGUGCAAAAGGCAAUUUAAUGUUUUAUGAGUGCAAAAAUAGAUGAUAAGUUAAUUUAUGUUCUUAAUUGUUGUAAAAAAUAAGAAGUAUUCGUCUUUAUUAAAGAGGGAUAAUAUGAUUAUUAA